rnacentral:rRNA from 1 species
GAUGAACGCUGGCGGCGUGCCUAAUACAUGCAAGUCGAGCGAACAGACGAGGAGCUUGCUCCUCUGACGUUAGCGGCGGACGGGUGAGUAACACGUGGAUAACCUACCUAUAAGACUGGGAUAACUUCGGGAAACCGGAGCUAAUACCGGAUAAUAUAUUGAACCGCAUGGUUCAAUAGUGAAAGACGGUUUUGCUGUCACUUAUAGAUGGAUCCGCGCCGCAUUAGCUAGUUGGUAAGGUAACGGCUUACCAAGGCAACGAUGCGUAGCCGACCUGAGAGGGUGAUCGGCCACACUGGAACUGAGACACGGUCCAGACUCCUACGGGAGGCAGCAGUAGGGAAUCUUCCGCAAUGGGCGAAAGCUUGACGGAGCAACGCCGCGUGAGUGAUGAAGGUCUUCGGAUCGUAAAACUCUGUUAUUAGGGAAGAACAAAUGUGUAAGUAACUAUGCACGUCUUGACGGUACAUAAUCAGAAAGCCUCGGCUAACUACGUG